GAUGAACGCUGGCGGCGUGCCUAAUACAUGCAAGUCGAGCGAACGGACGCGGAGCUUGCUUCUCUGAUGUUAGCGGCAGACGGGUGAGUAACGCGUGGAUCACCUACCUAUAAGAGUGGGAUAUCUUCGGAAAACGGGAGCUUAUACCGGAUAAUAUUUUGCACCGCAUGGUUCAAAAGUGAAAGACGGUCUUGGUGUAACUUAUCGCUGGUUCCGCGCUGGAUUAGGUAGUAGGUAAGGUCAAGGCUUAUCACGGGAAGGAUGCAUAGCCGCCCUGAGAGGGUGAUCGGCCACACUGGAACUGAGACACGGUCCAGACUCCUACGGGAGGCAGCAGUAGGGAAUCGGCCGCAAUGGGCGAAAGCCUGACGGAGCAACGCCGCGUGAGUGAUGAAGGUCUUCGGAUCGUAAAACUCGGUUAUUAGGGAAGAACAUAUGUGGAAGUUACUGUGCACAUCUUGACGGUACCUAAUCAGAAAGCCACGGCUAACUACGUG
rnacentral:rRNA from 1 species